rnacentral:rRNA from 1 species
GCUCGGCCGAUCCUCCCACCCUUUGUGUACCUACCUCUGUUGCUUUGGCGGGCCGCGGUCCUCCGCGGCCGCCCCCCUCCCCGGGGGGGUGGCCAGCGCCCGCCAGAGGACCAUCAAACUCCAGUCAGUAAACGAUGCAGUCUGAAAAACAUUUAAUAAACUAAAACUUUCAACAACGGAUCUCUUGGUUCUGGCAUCGAUGAAGAACGCAGCGAAAUGCGAUAAGUAAUGUGAAUUGCAGAAUUCAGUGAAUCAUCGAAUCUUUGAACGCACAUUGCGCCCUUUGGUAUUCCGAAGGGCAUGCCUGUUCGAGCGUCAUUACAACCCUCAAGCUCUGCUUGGUAUUGGGCACCGUCCUUUGCGGGCGCGCCUCAAAGACCUCGGCGGUGGCGUCUUGCCUCAAGCGUAGUAGAACAUACAUCUCGCUUCGGAGCGCAGGGCGUCGCCCGCCGGACGAACCUUCUGAACUUUUCUCAAGGUUGACCUCGGAUCAGGUAGGGAUACCCGCUGAACUUAAGCAUAUCAUA